rnacentral:rRNA from 1 species
GUGGGGAAUCUUAGACAAUGGGCGCAAGCCUGAUCUAGCCAUGCCGCGUGAGCGAUGAAGGCCUUAGGGUUGUAAAGCUCUUUCAGCUGGGAAGAUAAUGACGGUACCAGCAGAAGAAGCCCCGGCUAACUCCGUGCCAGCAGCCGCGGUAAUACGGAGGGGGCUAGCGUUGUUCGGAAUUACUGGGCGUAAAGCGCACGUAGGCGGAUCAGAAAGUCAGAGGUGAAAUCCCAGGGCUCAACCUUGGAACUGCCUUUGAAACUCAUGAUCUUGAGGUCGAGAGAGGUGAGUGGAAUUCCGAGUGUAGAGGUGAAAUUCGUAGAUAUUCGGAGGAACACCAGUGGCGAAGGCGGCUCACUGGCUCGAUACUGACGCUGAGGUGCGAAAGCGUGGGGAGCAAACAGGAUUAGAAACCCGGGUAGUCC